GACCAGACUCCUACGGGAGGCAGCAGUAGGGAAUCUUUCACAAUGGGGGAAACCCUGAUGCAGCGACGCCGCGUGAGCGAUGAAGUAUUUCGGUAUGUAAAGCUCUAUCAGCAGGGAAGAAGAUGACGGUACCUGACUAAGAAGCCCCGGCUAACUACGUGCCAGCAGCCGCGGUAAUACGUAGGGGGCAAGCGUUAUCCGGAUUUACUGGGUGUAAAGGGAGCGUAGACGGCGAUGCAAGCCAGAUGUGAAAGCCCGGGGCUCAACCCCGGGACUGCAUUUGGAACUGUGUGGCUGGAGUGUCGGAGAGGCAGGCGGAAUUCCUAGUGUAGCGGUGAAAUGCGUAGAUAUUAGGAGGAACACCAGUGGCGAAGGCGGCCUGCUGGACGAUGACUGACGUUGAGGCUCGAAAGCGUGGGGAGCAAACAGGAUUAGAUACCCGCGUACA
rnacentral:rRNA from 1 species